UACGUAGGGCGCAAGCGUUGUCCGGAAUUAUUGGGCGUAAAGAGCUCGUAGGCGGUCCGUUGCGUCUGCCGUGAAAACCCGAGGCUUAACCUCGGGCCUGCGGUGGAUACGGGCGGACUAGAGGUAGGUAGGGGAGAAUGGAAUUCCCGGUGUAGCGGUGAAAUGCGCAGAUAUCGGGAGGAACACCGGUGGCGAAGGCGGUUCUCUGGGCCUUACCUGACGCUGAGGAGCGAAAGUGUGGGGAGCGAACAGG
rnacentral:rRNA from 1 species